UUAGAAAUCAGUAAGAACCUCCUCAAAUUUCGCAGCCAUAAUUUUCCCGGAAAGUUUGCACUCCGACCAUGAACUCGAAGGUAGUAGUUGAUUCACCGGCUGUAUUGAACCCGAGGCAGUAGUUAAACUUCUUUAUCUCUGCCACAUUUCCCGGAAUUUGACAAUAAAGAACAACACUUUGAUCUCAUCGAAGAGCAUAAAUCCACAUUUUCGAAGACGGUUGUUGAGUCGCCUAGCAAUAUUGAAUUGUGCUUCCCCAUCUACGUCCUAAGUUGAGCAAGUUCCUCUGUUCAGCCAGAUAAACUAUAUUAUUUGCAAAUGGAGCAUGAUGGUGUGUUGGUAGAAUCAGAUGAAGAGAAUAUUACAAACUCUUUUAAUGUCGUGGAUCGUGAAACCUCAGGGGGGAGAUGGUGUGGUUGUGCCUGAGGUGGGUAUGAAGUUUAAGGAGUUAAAUGAUAUGGUUGACUUCUACAAAAAAAUAUGCCUAUGCUGUUGGAUUUCCAAUUAAGAAGAAAAAUUUGAAAAAGGGAGAUGAUGGAGAGUUGAGAUACAUGACCUUGACGUGUAGUCAUGAAGGUCGAAGAAUCGAUAAUUGUACCGGUUCCUUGAAGCCACAACCGACAGUAAAGAUGGGUGCAAAGCUAGGAUCUCUGCAUCGUCAAAUAUUCAUGGGUUAUGGAGAAUUAACAAGGUUUACCUCGACCACAAUCAUGAAACUAGUCCGUCAAAAUCGAGGUUAUAUUGAUGUUACAGAGAAUUGAGUUCAGAUGUCAAACACAAGCUUAAAGUCAAUGAUUUGGCAGGAAUUUCAUUGUAUAAAAGUUUCAAUUCUGCAGUUGUAGAAGCAGAUGGUUAUGAGAACAUGAGUUGCAUUGAGAAGGAUUGCCGAAAUUAUAUUGAACAGGUUAGGUGAUUACGACUUGGUGAAGGAGAUGUCACAGCCAUACAAACAUGCUUUUCAAAGAUGCAAGCAAAGUGCCUGAAAUUUUACUUUAGCAUAGAUUUGGACAAUGACUCCUGACUGAAAAAUGUAUUCUGGGUUGAUAAUUGUUGUAGGCAAGCCUAUAAGGAAUUCGACAAUGUUGUUACGUUUGAUACCACUUAACUGACAAAUAAGUAUGACAUGUCGUUCGUCCCAUUUGUUGGCGUCAAUCAUCACAGGCAAUCAACUUUGCUUGGUUGUGGUUUGGUGUCGAAUGAAAACACGGAUACUUUUGUGUGGUUGUUCAGGACAUGGCUACAGUGUAUAGAUUUUUUCCACACACGAGGCAUAGAUGGUGUUUAUCGCACAUUUUAAAGAAGUUGCCUGAAAAGUUUGGGUACCACAAUGACAAGUCUUCGAUAUUUAGGGCCAUACACGUAUUAGUUUAUAAUUUGCAACUUGUUGAAGAGUUUGAAGAGGGUUGAGCUUUGAUGAUUGAUCAGUUUAGCUUGUAAGAUAAUGAUUGGUUAUUUGGCCUGUAUGAGAACUGAAAUCGUUGGGUUCCUUGUUUUUUGAAGACUACGUUCUGGGCAGGUAUGUCAACAACACAAAAAAGUGAGAAUAUAAAUGUAUUCUUCGACGGAACCUGCAUUCGAAGACCUCAUUAAAGCAAUUUGUGAAACAAUAUGAACGAGCACUGUGGAAUAAGGUUGAGAAGGAGUUCUAGGCUGAUUUCAAGUCAUUUUCGCAAAUGGUACCGGGUGCAACACAGUAUGAAAUGGAGAUGCAAUUUCAGUCAGUUUAUACGAUAGCAAAAUUCAAGGAAGCUCAGGAUGAGUUCACGGGAAAGGUUUACUAUGAUAUCCCAUCCACUUUGGAGGGAGACUUGUCCGCAACAUAUGAGGUACGAGAGGAUGUUAUAUACGAUGGGCGACGAAAGAAAAAACAUUCGUCAUCUCAUUCAGGAAAAAGAAUUGUAACAUUGUUUGUAGCUGCCAUUUGUUCGAGUUCCGAGGAGUACUUUGUAGGCAUACGAUUGUAGUAUUGAUUAGUUGUGCUGUCACGUCACUUCAUGUACAUACUGCGGAGAUGGAGACGAGAUGUUAGCCGAGCACACAAUAGGGUUGCGGUAAACUAUGGCGGUUUAAUUAAUUCUCCCGAGCAGUUGAGAUACGACAAAAUAUGCCGCGAGUUUGCUCAGUUGGCAGACCUGGCUGCUGAUGAUGAAGGACAGUUACACUCGGUUGUGGAUUGAAUUAAACUUUAGUGUAAGGAAUUAUUGAUGCCAAAAAGAUCGUGCAAUGGAAGUAAUGUGAUUUUGCAGCAUACUAUCGAGAUAGCCGACCAGCAUACUGAUUCCCAGAAUAAUGUCAGCGUGAACAUACGAGAUCCAAAAUCGUCAUGUAGAAAGGGGGCACCCAAAAAACUUAGGAAAAAAGGUCAAUUGGAGUCGAGUUCAAAGAAAGCAAAGGGACGUUCGGCAGCAAGUAAACGAAAGAAUAUUACCACGCAACAUACUCAUAUGCAAGAGCACUCUCAGAUAGAUGCUCAGGAAGCUCAACAAUAGCAUUACUCAUUGCAGCCACCACUAUCUUAUCUACAAUAUUCGAUGCUGACAACGUUCCCCUUCUCACAAUAUUCCAUCACGACGGCGUUAUCGCUGGCCGGGAUAUUACCCUUGUCAAAUUAUAUCCCUCCGUCGUCGUCAAAUGUUGUAUAUAGCUCGCAAGGUCAACCAAUGCCACACUAUUAUCCACAUUUAUCAACCCAUGGAGGAUCAGGUGGAGAAUUAUAAUUGUAAUUAGAACUUUAUGAUGGCUUGCUAGUACCAUAUUUUGCUGCUCAAGUAUUAACAAGAAAGAGAAUCGAUACUAUGCUAUAAUGGGUGAAUCAUCGUGGUUGCCAAUCUAUGUCAUGAUACUGUAUAAAUCCUUUGUUCAGAUUGUUUUUUGAGACUUGUAUUUAUGUAAAAUGACACCAUAUUUUGGAGAGACUGAUGAAGUCAGUUUUAGGUUUGUAUUGGAGCAUUAUCAGAUUGAAAUGGUACAUUUUCAGAUUAUUUUUGGCACAGAAAAAUUCUAUGUAACCACUGGAUCAAAUAAUUAUACUUAUUCUGGUAGUU